UAAGGAAUAUUGGUCAAUGGACGCAAGUCUGAACCAGCCAUGCCGCGUGGAGGAUUAAGGCCCUCUGGGUUGUAAACUCCUUUUAUCUGGGAAGAAAUGUACUUUUUCUUGAGUACUUGACGGUACCAGAGGAAUAAGCACCGGCUAACUCCGUGCCAGCAGCCGCGGUAAUACGGAGGGUGCAAGCGUUAUCCGGAUUCACUGGGUUUAAAGGGUGCGUAGGUGGGCAGGUAAGUCAGUGGUGAAAUCUCCGGGCUUAACCCGGAAACUGCCGUUGAUACUAUUUGUCUUGAAUAUUGUGGAGGUAAGCGGAAUAUGUCAUGUAGCGGUGAAAUGCUUGGAUAUGACAUAGAACACCAAUUGCGAAGGCAGCUUACUACACAAUCAUUGACGCUGAGGCACGAAAGCGUGGGGAUCAAACA
rnacentral:rRNA from 1 species